rnacentral:rRNA from 1 species
AUUGAACGCUGGCGGAAUGCUUUACACAUGCAAGUCGAACGGCAGCACGGGGCAACCUGGUGGCGAGUGGCGAACGGGUGAGUAAUACAUCGGAACGUGCCCAAUCGUGGGGGAUAACGUAGCGAAAGUUACGCUAAUACCGCAUACGAUCUACGGAUGAAAGCGGGGGAUCGCAAGACCUCGCGCGAAUGGAGCGGCCGAUGUCAGAUUAGGUAGUUGGUGGGGUAAAGGCUCACCAAGCCAACGAUCUGUAGCUGGUCUGAGAGGACGACCAGCCACACUGGGACUGAGACACGGCCCAGACUCCUACGGGAGGCAGCAGUGGGGAAUUUUGGACAAUGGGCGCAAGCCUGAUCCAGCCAUUCCGCGUGCAGGAUGAAGGCCUUCGGUGUAAACUGCUUUGUUACGGAACGAAACGGUUACGUCUCUAA